AGGAGUAGCUCGCGCUUGGGGUCGACUUGGUUCGUCUUCCGCAUCGCGCGAUCAACUAGCGUACCUAAUGAAAUGCAUUAUGCAUAUGAAUGCGUAUCACAAAGGGUAUCGCAAGAUAAUAUUACGAUUAAGUCAUCAUCAUAAUCACGACAAUCUAAUUCUUAUGUAUGUACCAACAUAACCAGCCAUAAUAUAAAUAGAACGCGAGCAUUCUACAAAAUACUAACUUCAUCCUUUUAACGUAUGAACAGAACAUUUUACCAAUAUUUAAGACCACUACUCAUCACAUACGUGGAAUCUAUUUAAUUAUGUUUAACAUAUACACCUAUCAAGGCACUACUCACCUGACUUACCCAUCGACGAUCAUUAUACAUUGUGAUUAAUUCACCAUUGCACACAAGCACACCACAACAUCAGAUCAAUCCAAUUACACUAGACAUACGUUUCCACGUUGUGAAUUAAAAUGCAUAAGAUAUAGGUCGAUGGUGCUAACCACAAUCGGCCAUAACCAUACUUAAAACUAACUUAACUAGUUGAAAUAUACUCGACAAGUAUACCUACCGAAGCUCUAUUCCCAUAACCUACAUCUCAAACUGGCGAUCUGCUACCUGACUUUGACCAAAUCGCUGCAAGCGACUCGGGUAUCCUAAUAAAUAUUAUAUCUACUACCAGCAUACACAUAUGCUACGAGCAAAAGGACCGACAUAAUUAAUAUAUCCAAAUCAUCAAUCAAACACUAUCUGAAACAAUAAAUCGGCUAAUCAUUACCUAAACCUGAUCUGAAUUCGUGAGAUUGACGACGAUGUCCGGCGGGAGCAUUUCUCAGCACACCAUGGAAGCGAUGGAUGGGGUUCGCUUUUUUCUUCACCCAGAUUUCCCUAGAUUUCUUUCUUGUGGAGUACGGAACAAUAACGAAUGAACGUGGCUAUUGACAGAAUUGACGGU
rnacentral:lncRNA from 1 species